CCUGGUUGAUCCUGCCAGUAGUCAUAUGCUUGUUUCAAGGAUUAAGCCAUGCAAGUCUCAGAGUAAAUGGAUUGACAGUGGGUCUGCAGACGGCUCAUUAAAUCGGUGGCAAUCUACGCGGGGAAGGUGCCUUAUGGGCCCAGGUGGAUAACAAUGGUAACUCCAUUGCUAAUACAUGUCCGAAAAAUCUUACUUGCAUCAACCUCAUGGAGUAAAAUCUGUGGGGGCAGGGAAGAUACAGUUGACCGAAAUAAGAACCAACGCUAGCAAUAGCAGCGGUGAGUGGAUGAAACAGGUCAACCGAGUGAUAGCACACGACCUCGUGUCGGUGCAAGCCCGCAAGAGCUUCUGCCCUAUCAGCUUUUGACGGUAGUGUAGUGGACUACCGUGGCUGUAACGGGUAACGGGGAAUUAGGGUUCGAUUCCGGAGAGGGAGCCUGAGAAACGGCUACCACGUCUAAGGAUGGCAGCAGGCGCGCAAAUUGCCCAAUAGCAACACUGCUGAGGCAGCGAAGAGAAAUAGCAACUUCUCGUACUUUGUGCGAAGGAGAUUGCAAUGGAUGAUAUCUAAACCUGUCAAUGAGUAUCAAUUGGUGGACAAGUCUGGUGCCAGCACCCGCGGUAAUUCCAGCACCAAUAGCGUAUAUUAAUGCUGCUGCUGUUAAAAAGCUCGUAGUUGGAUCCAGAGUACAGGUUGCAAGGCGGCUCAGUUUGGGUAAACCAGCGUACUGCUGGGAUGCACAGGUUGGGGUAAACCCCUUGCACCAAGACCUGUCCUCUAUGAACGGUGGUAAUGGUGCCUUGCAAGUAGCCUUUUCGGAGGUGAAAGCGCCAACGUGUUAACCAUACGCAUACGGGUCGACCACCGAUGUUACUGUGAACAAACCAGCGUGCCCAAAGCAGGCGUCCGCCGUGAAUGAUAAAGCAUGGAAUAACAAGGGAUCGAUUCUCUCGGCUCUUUUUGUUGGUUCUUAACCCGAGAAGGAAUAAUCAAAACGAUGUUCUUAGCAUGUCUCUUUGAGGCGUGUUUAAGUCAUCGCUACACGGGAUCAAUAGGGACUGCCGGGGUCGUACGUACUCCUACGUCAGAGGUGAAAUUCUUAGAUCGUAGGAAGACGAACUUCUGCGAAAGCAUUCGACAAGAAUGUCUUCAUUAAUCAAGAACGAGAGUGUGGGGAUCGAAGAUGAUCAGAUACCGUCGUAGUCCACUACUGUAAACGAUGCCGUCUCAGGAUCGAGGGAUGCUCAACCAUGACUCCCACGGCACUACCCCGAAACGAGAAAUCAAAGAUUAUGGGUUCAGGGGGGAGUACAUUCGCAAGGCUGAAACUUAAAGGAAUUGACGGAAUGACACCACCAGGCGUGGAGUAUGCGGCUUAAUUUGACCCAACACGGGGAAUUUUACUAGGUCAGGACAAUGUAAGGAUUGACAGAUUGAGAGCUCUUUCUCGAUCCAUUGUGUGGUGGUGCAUGGCCGCUCCUGGUUGGUGGAGUGAUUUGUCUGGUUGAUUCCGUUAACGAACGAGAUCUCGACCCUUAAAUAGGUGGCUUGUCGCUUAGACUUUAUCCUCGGAUUC
rnacentral:rRNA from 1 species